rnacentral:rRNA from 1 species
ACCCGGUAAGCCUGAAUACUCCCUGGUGACCGAUAGCGGACUAGUACCGUGAGGGAAAGGUGAAAAGUACCCCGGGAGGGGAGUGAAAUAGUACCUGAAACCGUGCGCUUACAAUCCGUCAGAGCCUGCGCCUAGUUUACUAGGGUGGGUGAUGGCGUGCCUUUUGAAGAAUGAGCCUGCGAGUUAGUGGCAUGUGGCGAGGUUAACCCGUGGUGGGGUAGCCGUAGCGAAAGCGAGUCCGAAUAGGGCGUUUUGAGUCGCGUGUUCUAGACCCGAAGCGGAGUGAUCUACCCAUGGCCAGGGUGAAGCGACGGUAAGACGUCGUGGAGGCCCGAACCCACUUAGGUUGAAAACUGAGGGGAUGAGCUGUGGGUAGGG